CACGGAGUUAGCCGGGGCCUAUUCUCCAGGUACCGUCAUCAUCGUCCCUGGCAAAAGAGCUUUACAACCCGAAGGCCGUCAUCCCUCACGCAGCGUUGCUGGAUCAGGCUUCCGCCCAUUGUCCAAUAUUCCCCA
rnacentral:rRNA from 1 species